UGCCAACAUCCCCGACAGAAGUUUUCUGCAUCCUCUGGGAUCCGCAGGCUUGAGUAUUCCCCGGAAUUGGCCCAGGUCCACGCAGUCCAUCCUCUCUGGCCGCAGCAGCACGAAGCCCAUGGGGUUUUACAAGGUCCCAAGACAUGUGGGCAUGUGACCCAGGCUCCGCAAACCAGAGGCUCUUGCAUCUGAAAUCUUGAGGGGGUAUCCGAAGACAUGGAGACGUCAAAGAUUAUUGAUGGCAGUGGUAGGAUGGAGACUCCAGGGGUGUGAGAGCAAAGUUGUAUUGGUGGGACUUCCCUGGUGGUCCAGUGGUGAAGAAUCUGCCUCC